AACGUAGGAGACAAACGUUAUCCGGAGUUACUGGGCGUAAAGCGCGCGCAGGCGGUUCUUCAAGUCAGAGGUGAAAGCCCAGAGCUCAACUCUGGAAUGGCCUUUGAGACUAGAGAACUAGGGUACGGGAGAGGUGAGUGGAAUUCCGAGUGUAGAGGUGAAAUUCGUAGAUAUUCGGAAGAACACCAGUGGCGAAGGCGGCUCACUGGCCCGUUACCGACGCUCAGGCGCGACAGCGUGGGGAGCAAACAGG
rnacentral:rRNA from 1 species